rnacentral:rRNA from 1 species
UAAGCGGAGGAAAAGAAACUAACAAGGAUUCCCCUAGUAACGGCGAGCGAACCGGGAAGAGCUCAAAUUUGAAAUCUGGCGUCCCACGGGCGUCCGAGUUGUAAUCUGCAGAGGCGUCUUCCGCCCCGGACCGCGUCCAAGUCCCUUGGAACAGGGUAUCAAAGAGGGUGACAAUCCCGUGCUUGACGCGACCCCCGGUGCUGUGUGAUGCGACCUCAAAGAGUCGAGUUGUUUGGGAAUGCAGCUCAAAACGGGUGGUAAAUUCCAUCUAAGGCUAAAUAUUGGCGAGAGACCGAUAGCGAACAAGUACCGUGAGGGAAAGAUGAAAAGCACUUUGGAAAGAGAGUUAAACAGUACGUGAAAUUGUUGGAAGGGAAACGAUUGAAGUCAGUCGUGUCCGAGGGGUUCAGCCGGUCCUGCCGGUGCACUCCCCUCGGACGGGUCAACAUCGGUUCUGUCCGGCGGACAAGGGCAGGGGGAACGUGGCACCCUUGUGGUGUGUUAUAGCCCCCCGUCGCAUACGUCGGUCGGGACCGAGGAUCGCAGCUCGCCCUCACGGGCCGGGGUUCGCCCACGUCCGAGCUUAGGAUGUUGACGUAAUGGCUUUAAACGA